UACGUAGGGUGCGAGCGUUGUCCGGAAUUAUUGGGCGUAAAGAGCUUGUAGGCGGUUUGUCGCGUCUGCCGUGAAAAUUCGAGGCUCAACCUCGAACUUGCGGUGGGUACGGGCAGACUAGAGUGUGGUAGGGGAGACUGGAAUUCCUGGUGGUAGCGGUGAAAUGCGCAGAUAUCAGGAGGAACACCGAUGGCGAAGGCAGGUCUCUGGGCCGAUACUGACGCUGAGGAGCGAAAGCGUGGGGAGCGAACAGGAUAGAAACCCU
rnacentral:rRNA from 1 species